rnacentral:lncRNA from 1 species
CAGCAGCCUCUCGACUUCCUCGAGCUGGCACAGUGCAGCCAGCUUUGAUGCCCACUCAAGCACUGUGAGCACCUCGGCCCAUGACAGCUCCUCGUUGUCGGGGACGUGCAUAAAAAAAUGAUAAAUGCAUAAAAGCUUAAAGCAUAUGUUUUCUAAAGAGUUCAAAGUCACCUUCUGCAGUAUUUUGAAUCUUGUUAAAUUCAACAUGUCAAAUUAAUGAAUU